rnacentral:rRNA from 1 species
UAAGGAAUAUUGGACAAUGGAGGCAACUCUGAUCCAGCCAUGCCGCGUGAAGGAAUAAGGCCCUAUGGGUUGUAAACUUCUUUUAGACGGGACAAAACCCCUUUACGUGUAAAGGGUUGAUGGUACUGUCAGAAUAAGCAUCGGCUAACUUCGUGCCAGCAGCCGCGGUAAUACGAAGGAUGCAAGCGUUAUCCGGAAUUAUUGGGUUUAAAGGGUGCGUAGGCGGACUAAUAAGUCAGUGGUGAAAGCCUGCAGCUUAACUGCAGAAUUGCCAUUGAUACUGUUAGUCUUGAGUACAGUUGAGGUAGGCGGAAUGUGGCAUGUAGAGGUGAAAUGCUUAGAUAUGACACAGAACACCGAUUGCGAAGGCAGCUUGCUAAGCUGUAACUGACGCUGAGGCACGAAAGCGUGGGGAGCAAACA